rnacentral:rRNA from 1 species
GUCUUUUGUAACCAUCAGGGAAGGCACCAAAUCCUAUCGGAUCUUGGAAGCUAAGCAAAGUCAGCCCUGGUUAGUACUUGGAUGACUGCCAAUGAAUACCAGGUGCAGUAGGCC